rnacentral:rRNA from 1 species
GACGAACGCUGGCGGCGUGCUUAACACAUGCAAGUCGAACGGAAAGGCCUGCUUUCCCUUGUGGAUUGCGGGUACUCGAGUGGCGAACGGGUGAGUAACACGUGAGUGAUCUGCCCCCAACUUGGGUAUAAGCCUGGGAAACUGGGUCUAAUUCCCGAUAGGACUGCAGGGUGGUGCCUGUGGUGGAAAACGAUUUUCUAGUGGUUGGGGAUGAGCUCGCGGCCUAUCAGCUUGUUGGUGGGGUAAUGGCCUACCAAGGCGGCGACGGGUAGCCGGCCUGGGAGGGUGGACGGCCGCAUUGGGACUGCGAUACGGCCCAGACUCCUACGGGAGGCAGCAGUGGGGAAUAUUGCACAAUGGGCGGAAGCCUGAUGCAGCGACGCCGCGUGGGGGAUGACGGCCUUCGGGUGGUAAACUCCUUUCGACCGCGAGGAAGCCACCUGGUUGGAAGGGUGGUGACGGUAGUGGUAGAAGAAGCACCGGCUAACUACGUG